AUUUACAUCUAUCAUGCUUCCUCAGGAAGUUAUUCGAAGAUGUUCUCCAGCAAAAUAAGAGGUAACCCGGGAUCCAUGAAAGAGUGUUUUCAACCCAAGAGUGUGACAAAGAGAAUUUCCAGGAUGACAGCCCUGGUUCAAGUGUCUGUUCCUCAACUUCUGUGGCUUGUUUAUUAUCCGGACAUGAGCAUCUUACAUCAGCCAUCGACAGUAAGUGGGGGGAAGCUAUCUCCAUGAGGAGGAAAUGAGGAGCCCCUUUCAGAAUAUGCCACAAGGACCCAUCGAAGGCACUGCCAUAGAAUCAACACUGAUUGCCAAGGUCUGAAGAGAAGCAGAUGUGCUCAUAUCUAAGGGGGAAAAAAAACCAGAUUCUGCAAAAUUCA